rnacentral:rRNA from 1 species
UACGUAGGGUGCAAGCGUUAAUCGGAAUUACUGGGCGUAAAGCGCGCGUAGGCGGAUCUGCAAGUCGGGGGUGAAAUCCCGAGGCUCAACCUCGGAACUGCCUUCGAUACUGCGGGUCUCGAGUCCGGGAGAGGUGAGUGGAAUUCCUAGUGUAGAGGUGAAAUUCGUAGAUAUUAGGAAGAACACCAGUGGCGAAGGCGGCGACCUGGACAGAUAUUGACGCUGAGGUGCGAAAGCGUGGGGAGCAAACAGG